UACAGAGGUGGCAAGCGUUGCUCGGUAUCACUGGGCUUAAAGGGCGCGUAGGCGGUGUGGUACGGUUUCGGUGAAAUCCCUCGGCCCAACCGAGGAACAGCCGGGGCUACGGCCACACUAGACGGCAUCAGGGGACAGUGGAACUCCCGGUGGAGCGGUGAAAUGCGUAGAUAUCGGGAGGAACACCUGUGGUGUAGACAGCUUACUGGACGAUAACUGACGCUGAGGCACGAAAGCGUGGGUAGCAAACAGG
rnacentral:rRNA from 1 species